AUUGAACGCUGGCGGCAGGCCUAACACAUGCAAGUCGAACGGUAACAGAGAGUAGCUUGCUACUUUGCUGACGAGUGGUGGACGGGUGAGUAAUGUCUGGGGAUCUGCCUGAUGGAGGGGGAUAACUACUGGAAACGGUAGCUAAUACCGCAUAAUGUCGCAAGACCAAAGCGGGGGACUUUCGGGCCUCGCACCAUCAGAUGAACCCAGAUGGGAUUAGCUAGUAGGUAGGGUAAUGGCUUACCUAGGCGACGAUCCCUAGCUGGUCUGAGAGGAUGACCAGCCACACUGGAACUGAGACACGGUCCAGACUCCUACGGGAGGCAGCAGUGGGGAAUAUUGCACAAUGGGCGCAAGCCUGAUGCAGCCAUGCCGCGUGUAUGAAGGAGGCCUUCGGGUUGUAAAGUACUUUCAGUCAGGAGGAAGGGUGUGAAAUUAAUACUUUCAUGCAUUGACGUUACUGACAGAAGAAGCACCGGCUAACUCCGUGCCAGCAGCCGCAGUAA
rnacentral:rRNA from 1 species